AUCAAGGUUUACCAAUAAAGAAACACCAUAAAUCAGAUUGUUUCCCAGAGUUCACUGGCGGCUGAAGUAGUUGCUAGGCUCAGGCAAUCUUUAAGAUGAAUCAUGGAGGCAGUCGAGAGUUGUGUUUGCCGCUGUCAAGAAAACAGCCUAAUAUAAUUGCAAGGGUGACUUGUAGUUCAGGACCGGUGUUUUCUUGUGCUGUUGUUUCUUGCUUAUGCCUGGAAACCAAUGAAAUAGACUGAGGGAUUUGAUAGGGCAAAUGUAAUAAGGAAACGAUGGCAACCAUUAUGCCUGUACUAUCCUUGAAUCCACCCCUGCCCUUGCAUUUCCUGAUUCAAUAGUGAAAUAGAUGACAUUUUAGCCGUUGAGAGUGUCAAAUAUAUGGCAGUCAAAUCAAUAGGAAGUCAACAGGUGAGUUUCGGACCAUUCCGAUUUGAUACAGGUGAAGUAUGUCC